CCACGAACAGGGCAAACCACUUCGAAAGAGUGGGACGCAAAGCUUCCGGCCUGACUCAGGAGACUGAAAGGUAGCGGGGUUGCCGAU
rnacentral:ncRNA from 1 species